rnacentral:rRNA from 1 species
UACGAAGGGUGCGAGCGUUAAUCGGAAUUACUGGGCGUAAAGCGCGCGUAGGCGGUUGGAUAAGUCGGAUGUGAAAGCCCCGGGCUCAACCUGGGAAUUGCAUUCGAAACUGUCCGGCUAGAGUAUGGUAGAGGGAAGCGGAAUUCCACAUGUAGCGGUGAAAUGCGUAGAUAUGUGGAGGAACACCAGUGGCGAAGGCGGCUUCCUGGACCAAUACUGACGCUGAGGUGCGAAAGCGUGGGGAGCAAACAGGAUUAGAUACCCUAGUAGUCC